GACGUAGGAGGCGAGCGUUGUCCGGAUUCAUUGGGCGUAAAGAGCGCGCAGGCGGCUUGGUAAGUCGGAUGUGAAAUCCCGAGGCUCAACCUCGGGUCUGCAUCCGAUACUGCCCGGCUAGAGGUAGGUAGGGGAGAUCGGAAUUCCUGGUGUAGCGGUGAAAUGCGCAGAUAUCAGGAGGAACACCGGUGGCGAAGGCGGAUCUCUGGGCCUUACCUGACGCUCAGGCGCGAAAGCGUGGGGAGCGAACAGG
rnacentral:rRNA from 1 species